CCGCGGCUGCCAGUGACGGGCGGCUGGUCCGCCAGGCCGCCCUCUGCCGGCGCCGCGCGGUCCUUAGCCUGUAAGAUGGCCCCUGUGUGCGUCCCGUCGUGCUGCUCCUGAGCUCCGGGAGCGUGCGGCGUCGUGUUCGGGUCCUCGGAGCGCUGAGUGAGCGCUGAGGUGACCCCGACCGGGCCUGAUGACGGGGUUAUGGAAAGUGGGUUAGCAGAAAAAACACCUCGUUUAAAGGGAGAACAAAAAGGAAGUUGCCUGUGUACACCUGUGGCGGCUGACAGCAGCGUCCUAACAGGAUAGCGCCUCAGAUCAGUGGUGCUGCCAGCCUGGCUUGGGAUGGGAUUUAUAUUCUAUCUCGGCUUUGGGGCUUCUUCGUUUGCUCGUUGCUUUUCUUCUGCUAUGCUUUGCUAUGCUCUGAGAAUGCCAGUGUGUCUCCUUGUAGAGCCUGACUUAGAGACAGCAGUUUAUCUCCAGAACCCAGCUGCCUAAAGAGUGGACUUCGGUUCAUAUUCCCUCCAGGUUAGUGUUUAAGCUGUGAGUCACCCGCAAAAGCAAUUUCCUGGCAAUUAAAAUUAGGCCAUUAAGAAAGGUUUUUACAUGUAACACAUCUGAAUGGGCUUGUUACAGACUUUCUUCCCCGCUCCCCAUGAAAAAUCCCUUAGAAAUCUAUGUUGUGUCUCCAUGGUCUCUGUAUCCUCGGCUAACACUGAUCUGCUCUCUUAGCCUCUGAGGCCCAGGUCAUGUGAGAACCAGCAUAUCUUGUUAGCUAAGUGUGGUACAGCAUUCUAUCUGCCAUCAGUAAGUGACACAGAACAAGCAUCACUCUACCUGAGUUGUCAAGAUGUUAAAAUAGCUGACUUCCAGUACAUUGCCUGUGUUUUACAAUCUGCAUGCUAUUGCUGACAAAUAAUAAGUAGUUAUGUGGGCUUGGAUUUUUGCUGGCUGUUUUCUCCUCAGUUUUCAAGUUACUGUGGUGUUCUGCAUCGUAGAGUCGUGGAAUCCUUAAAGUUGGAAUGGAACUCUGAGUGCCUCCUAGUCUCACUCCCCUGCAAUGUACAGGGGCACCACAGCUAGAUCAGGUUGCCCAGGGACUGAUCCAGCCUUGCCUUGAAAGUCUCCA